UACGUAGGGGGCAAGCGUUGUCCGGAAUCACUGGGCGUAAAGCGUGCGUAGGUGGUUUCGUAAGUCUGAAGUGAAAGUCCAAGGCUCAACCUUGGGAUUGCUUUGGAAACUGCGGGACUUGAGUACUGGAGAGGCAAGGGGAAUUCCACGUGUAGCGGUGAAAUGCGUAGAUAUGUGGAGGAAUACCAGUGGCGAAGGCGCCUUGCUGGACAGUGACUGACGCUGAGGCACGAAAGCGUGGGGAGCAAACAGG
rnacentral:rRNA from 1 species